CCCCAGAAAUGGCAGUUUCUGGGGGGACAUCGGAGUGGGGACUUUUUUAGCUUAGAGGUUUCCUCUCCUCUCUGGGUUGCAGUUUUCUCCCUCUGUAAAACGGGAGAAACUCACCUUAUGGAAUCUUUGGAGUAUGACUAGAUCGUUGACCUAAACACAUACUAAAUCAACCACCCACUGUCUGUCAUUAAGUCUUUAACAAAUAUUUGUAAAUCCUUACUCGGUGUCAGACUGUCUGCCCUUCUCUGUCCCCUUAUCCUGUUUUAUUCCAUCCCCCACCCCAAGGAUUUAUCCCUACUUGACAUUAAAGUAUGCAUUUCUUUCUCGAUCCUGUUAAAAAACAAACUUCUACUAAGUGUGAAGGUCUAAUUGCCUUUAUUAAAAGAUUCAUGAAUCAAGCAGCAUCUCAUCUGUCAAGCAGAGAUACUCCCAGAGGUUGUACAAAAUGGAAGCCUUUUAUAGAAAAGACGGUGAGACAAGAAGUCAUGGACAAUAGUGAAAUGAAAGUUAAUUCGGAGGAAAGUAAGCGUUCAGGUCUUAUGGCACGUGGGAUCUUCGUUGCGGCAUGAGGGAUCUAGUUUCCUGAACAGGGAUCAGACCCAGGCCCCCUGCAUUGGGAGUGCGGAGUCUUGACCACUGGACCACCAGGAAAGUCACAGAAAUGUUUGAUUAGUGAUCAUCCACCCGUCAUCUAAUUUUUUGAUGCAUUUCAAAGGAAGUUGAAGAUUUAGGGGAUCUAAUGGACAGCAUGGUGAUUACAAGUAACACUGUAUUGUACCUGAAAGCUGCUAAGAGAGCAGAUCUUCAAUGUUCUCACCACCAAAACAGAAAAGGGCUUCCCUGGUGACGCAGUGGUGGAGGGUCU